rnacentral:lncRNA from 10 species
GGCAAGAGUCAGGAGAGGUUUAACUGAAUAUAGAAGGAGAAGAAGUAUUUACAUUAGAAGUCUGAUUCACAGGUCGGGGCAAAGUGAAAAACAUCUGCACUUUUAAAAGAGAGGUCAAAAGUCCGUCUGACUCACCUGUGCUGAGUGACUUGAAUGCCAUCUAAUCUAACUUCAAGGUGAGGACAGUCUGUUCUGAAGGUCUACACAUUAAUGCUUCCUAUUGGGAAUUCAAAUCGGCAAUUUGUUCUUCUUCUGGUUGUUUGAAUCUUCAAAAUAGAGGGAAGACACCUGGAUGAAACAUUUUCACAGACUCUGCAAUUCCCUUAAGAGGAUCCCAGAGCCCUUAAGCUUCUCUUAGAUUCCUCUGAUUUUUUUC